rnacentral:rRNA from 1 species
UGCCAGACUCCUACGGGAGGCAGCAGUGAGGAAUAUUGGUCAAUGGUCGGGAGACUGAACCAGCCAAGCCGCGUGAGGGAUGAAGGUACAGAGUAUCGUAAACCUCUUUUGUCAGGGAGCAAUUGGCGCUACGUGUAGCGUUAUCGAGAGUACCUGAAGAAAAAGCAUCGGCUAACUCCGUGCCAGCAGCCGCGGUAAUACGGAGGAUGCGAGCGUUAUCCGGAUUUAUUGGGUUUAAAGGGUGCGUAGGCGAAAUGCCAAGGCAGGGGUAAAAUCGCGGGGCUCAACCUCGCUCCGCCGUUGAAACUGGCGUUCUUGAGUGGGCGAGAAGUAUGCGGAAUGCGUGGUGUAGCGGUGAAAUGCAUAGAUAUCACGCAGAACUCCGAUUGCGAAGGCAGCAUACCGGCGCCCAACUGACGCUGAAGCACGAAAGCGUGGGUAUCGAACAGGAUUAGAUACCCCGGUA